rnacentral:piRNA from 1 species
UACACACAGGACAGAGGCGCAGGGU